UACGGAGGGGGCAAGCGUUGCUCGGAAUCACUGGGCGUAAAGCGCACGUAGGCGGAUUGUUAAGUCAGGGGUGAAAUCCUGGAGCUCAACUCCAGAACUGCCUUUGAUACUGGCGAUCUCGAGUCCGGGAGAGGUGAGUGGAACUGCGAGUGUAGAGGUGAAAUUCGUAGAUAUUCGCAAGAACACCAGUGGCGAAGGCGGCUCACUGGCCCGGUACUGACGCUGAGGUGCGAAAGCGUGGGGAGCAAACAGG
rnacentral:rRNA from 1 species